CCACCAGCAUCACAAUGACACUACUACUAUAUGGUGGUCGGAGCUCUUACGCUAAUAAAAGUAAGGAGAACCUUUGGUGGUUCAUGAUAUAUAGAUUCAACAACUUACCUGCAAAUAUUUUGUUUUAGAUGAGAGCUCGUUGAUUGAGGAUUUUGGCUGGAAGAAAGUGGCAUUUAUAUGGUGUUGAUUAACAUGUAUUAUUGACUAGAGAUGUAUUUGUGGUUUGAUAAAUAUUCAAACUUGUUUAUUUGGGUUCACGUAGCAUCAAUGGGUGUAUGUGGCGUGUACUUUUUCAACAACUCCGGUUUGAAGAACUUCAUUGCUCUUUUUUUUUUUGCUUUCUUUAAGAAUACCUAUUGUGAACGAAGUGCUCGCAUUCUUGCAUAUUGCAUGAUGUUUGGAAAUUGGAGAUAUACUUAUGGAGGAUAUUUGGUGUUUAGUAUCUUAUUGAGUUCGAAAGGUGUGUUUUUUAGUCUUUCGUUUGUCUUUUUGACUUGUGAAUAGUUUUAAGGUUGAUGUUUAUUGGAGGUGUUGGCUUGAUCCACAUGGAGACUCAGUUGAAGGAAUGCAUAGUAUGAGGCAUGAUCGAUGAAGAA
rnacentral:lncRNA from 1 species